rnacentral:rRNA from 1 species
UACGUAGGCAGCAAGCGUUGUUCGGAAUUACUGGGCGUAAAGAGUUCGUAGGCGGUGCGGCAAGUUCGGUGUGAAAUCUCCCGGCUCAACUGGGAGGGUGCGCUAAAUACUGCCGUGCUCGAGUAUAGGAGAGGUAAGCGGAAUUCCUGGUGUAGCGGUGAAAUGCGUAGAUAUCAGGAGGAAUACCGAUGGCGAAGGCAGGUCUCUGGGCUGACACUGACGCUCAUGCACGAAAGCGUGGGGAGCAAACAGG